rnacentral:rRNA from 1 species
GAUGAACGCUGGCGGCGUGCCUAAUACAUGCAAGUCGAGCGAACGGACGAGAAUCUUGCUUCUCUGAUGUUAGCGGCGGACGGGUGAGUAACACGUGGAUAACCUACCUAUAAGACUGGGAUAACUUCGGGAAACCGUAUCUAAUACCGGAUAAUAUUUUGAACCGCAUGGUUCAAAAGUGAAAGACGGUCUUGCUGUCACUUAUAGAUGGAUCCGCGCUGCAUUAGCUAGUUGGUAAGGUAACGGCUUACCAAGGCAACGAUGCAUAGCCGACCUGAGAGGGUGAUCGGCCACACUGGAACUGAGACACGGUCCAGACUCCUACGGGAGGCAGCAGUAGGGAAUAUUCCGCAAUGGGCGAAAGCCUGACGGAGCAACGCCGCGUGAGUGAUGAAGGUCUUCGGAUCGUAAAACACUGUUAUUAGGGAAGAACAUAUGUGUAAGUAACUGUGCACAUCUUGACGGUACCUAAUCAGAAAGCCACGGCUAACUACGUG